CUUAACACAUGCAAGUGGAGCGACGAAGGGCCUUCGGGCCUGGCAGAGCCGCGAACGGGUGAGUAACACGUGGGUAACCUGCCCCGAUGAUUGGGACAACCCGACGAAAGUCGGGCUAAUACCAAAUGUGCUUUCUACUCUCAAGAGUGGUCAGGAAAGGAAGCUUCGGCCUCCGCAUCGGGAUGGGCCCGCGGCGCAUUAGCUUGUUGGUGGGGUAACGGCCUACCAAGGCGACGAUGCGUAGCUGGUCUGAGAGGACGAUCAGCCACACUGGAACUGAGACACGGUCCAGACUCCUACGGGAGGCAGCAGUGGGGAAUCUUGCGCAAUGCGCGAAAGCGUGACGCAGCAACGCCGCGUGUGGGAAGACGGCCCUCGGGUUGUAAACCACUUUCAGUUGGGACGAAGGGUAGUCCGUUAAUAGCGGUUCUACUUGACGGUACCUUCACAAGAAGCCCCGGCUAACUACGUGCCAGCAGCCGCGGUAAUACGUAGGGGGCAAGCGUUGUCCGGAAUCAUUGGGCGUAAAGCGCGUGUAGGCGGGUCGGUAAGUCUGCUCUGAAAGUCCAAGGCUCAACCUUGGGAUGCGGGUGGAUACUGCCGACCUCGAGUCCGGAAGAGGCGAGUGGAAUUCCUGGUGUAGCGGUGAAAUGCGCAGAUAUCAGGAGGAACACCAAUGGCGAAGGCAGCUCGCUGGGACGUGACUGACGCUGAGACGCGAAAGCGUGGGGAGCAAACAGGAUUAGAUACCCUGGUAGUCCACGCCGUAAACGAUGGGCACUAGGUGUGGGAGGUGUCGACUCCUCCCGUGCCGAAGCUAACGCAUUAAGUGCCCCGCCUGGGGAGUACGGCCGCAAGGCUAAAACUCAAAGGAAUUGACGGGGGCCCGCACAAGCAGCGGAGCAUGUGGUUUAAUUCGACGCAACGCGAAGAACCUUACCUGGGUUUGACAUGUGCCUGACCGCCCUGGAAACAGGGCUUCUCUUCGGAGCAGGUUCACAGGUGGUGCAUGGCUGUCGUCAGCUCG
rnacentral:rRNA from 1 species